rnacentral:rRNA from 1 species
AUACGGAUGGAGCGAGCGUUGUUCGGAAUUACUGGGCAUAAAGAGCACGUAGGCGGCCCUGCAAGUCAGAUGUGAAAUACUCCGGCCCACCCGGAGACUUGCAUUCGAUACUGCGGGGCUUGAGUAAAGGAGGGGAGUGUGGAACUGCUGGUGGAGCGGUAAAAUGCGUAGAUAUCAGCAGGAACGCCGGUGGAGAAGUCGACACUCUGGCCUUUUACUGACGCUGAGGUGCGAAAGCUAGGGUAGCGAACGGGAUUAGAUACCCCGGUAGUCCUAGCCGUAAACGAUGGGCACUAGGUAGAGGGGGUUCCAACACUCUCCCUGCCGAAGCUAAUGUGGUAAGUGCCCCGCCUGGGGACUACGGCCGCAAGGCUAAA